UACGGGGGGGGCAAGCGUUGUUCGGAAUUACUGGGCGUAAAGGGCUCGUAGGCGGCCAACUAAGUCGGACGUGAAAUCCCCAGGCUCAACCUGGGAACUGCGUCCGAUACUGGAUGGCUUGAAUCCGGGAGAGGGAUGCAGAAUUCCAGGUGUAGCGGUGAAAUGCGCAGAUAUCGGGAGGGACACCAGUAGCGAAGGCGGUUCUCUGGGCCGGUACUGACGCUGAGGAGCGAAAGCGUGGGGAGCAAACAGG
rnacentral:rRNA from 1 species